rnacentral:rRNA from 1 species
UACGGGGGGGGCAAGCGUUGUUCGGAAUUACUGGGCGUAAAGGGCUCGUAGGCGGCCAACUAAGUCAGACGUGAAAUCCCUAGGCUCAACCUAGGAACUGCGUCUGAUACUGGAUGGCUUGAAUCCGGGAGAGGGAUGCAGAAUUCCUGGUGUAGCGGUGAAAUGCGCAGAUAUCAGGAGGAACACCGGUGGCGAAGGCGGGUCUCUGGGCCGUUACUGACGCUGAGGAGCGAAAGCGUGGGGAGCAAACAGG